GAUGAACGCUAGCGGCAGGCCUAAUACAUGCAAGUCGGACGGGAUCCGUCGGAGAGCUUGCUCGAGGACGGUGAGAGUGGCGCACGGGUGCGUAACGCGUGAGCAACCUACCUCUAUCAGGGGGAUAGCCUCUCGAAAGAGAGAUUAACACCGCAUAACAUAUCUGACCGGCAUCGGUUAGCUAUUAAAUAUUUAUAGGAUAGAGAUGGGCUCGCGUGACAUUAGCUAGUUGGUAGGGUAACGGCUUACCAAGGCGACGAUGUCUAGGGGCUCUGAGAGGAGAAUCCCCCACACUGGUACUGAGACACGGACCAGACUCCUACGGGAGGCAGCAGUAAGGAAUAUUGGUCAAUGGGCGGAAGCCUGAACCAGCCAUGCCGCGUGCAGGAUGACUGCCCUAUGGGUUGUAAACUGCUUUUGUCCAGGAAUAAACCUAGAUACGUGUAUCUAGCUGAAUGUACUGGAAGAAUAAGGAUCGGCUAACUCCGUGCCAGCCGCCGCGGUAAGAC
rnacentral:rRNA from 1 species